rnacentral:rRNA from 1 species
UACGAAGGGGGCUAGCGUUGCUCGGAAUCACUGGGCGUAAAGGCUCGUAGGCGGCCAACUAAGUCAGACGUGAAAUCCCUCGGCUUAACCGGGGAACUGCGUCUGAUACUGGAUGGCUUGAGUUUGGGAGAGGGAUGCGGAAUUCCAGGUGUAGCGGUGAAAUGCGUAGAUAUCAGGAGGAACACCGGUGGCGAAGGCGCACAUCUGGCCCGAUACUGACGCUGAGGCGCGAAAGCUAGGGGAGCAAACGGG